AAAAAAGCCACACACAGCGCUGUAACUCACUCCCUGUCCACACUGGCAAGGCACAUACAGAGCUGUAUCUCCAUGGCUACCAUGCUGCAUGUACUCCACCUCCACGAGAGGAAUAAGG